GAAGAAAAAAACGUCUGCCAGGGAUGAUUUUCCCUCAACUAUAUACUAAACUCCAAGAUGAGUUAAAAUCUGCUUUUAUGAUUCUGAGGAAAACCGCAGAAGAGUGAGAGACAAAUGAGUGAAAAAGAAAGAUGAGAAAACUGAAAGUGACAUAGAUCGUAUUUAUUGCUCAAGGUCACCAACACAGAAGAAGCUAAAAAGUGGCUGAGUCAGCUUCAGCAGCUUCAUAUUCACUUUCCACAGUUACGCUUCCCUGUUGCCUCAGUCUCAGCUAGUCCACUACAGACCAUCUUGGGUUGACACUAUUUGUAUCUAUGGCUUAUUUCCAUUACUAAAUUAUGAGAUCCCAGGAUUUCAAAACUCUUCUUCUACUGGUUGUUAUCUGAAACAAAAAGGCCAACCAGGAACUAGAGAAGACAAAAAACUGCUUUUCAUCGGACCUUGAUGAACUAAAGAAAUACUAACAUUCUCAAGGGAAAAACUACAUGGAGAGAUUUCAAGACUAUAAAGAUUCAGAGAAUUGUCUUAACUUUCAGAAGCUAUGCCAAAGAAAUCUGAAUCUUUGGCAUGUCACUUUUGAUGACACAUGUCGACUUUCAUAGGGUCAUGAGAUAAAUAGUAACCUGAACCACUUGCUUCCAAAGCUUCUACUUCCUCUGAAGGCUGACAUGGUGUGUCUUAUGAAGUCACAAGUCCCGUUAUACCUGCAGCAAUCAAUACUGCAAUUAAAGGGAACUAGUACCUGAAGGAAUUGAUCAAACAAGUCCAAACCUAUCAUCCUCUCCAGUCACUAUACAUUUGAAACAAUAAAAUUACACAGUAAAUAUACUGCACACACACACAAAAAUUCCUAAGAGGAUUGGGUCAUAAAGAUACAAAUCAAAAAAUAAAUAAGGCUUUAUACAAAUUUUAAAAUGUUAAAGUAGCAAUUUGUAGAGGUAAAAAAAUUAAACAUUACUCCCAGUUAACAAUGUCCACUCCUUUCAGAUUUUACUCAUUCAGUAGAUUCAACACAGAAGUCACACUAUGCUUCACACUUUUACAUUUUUGUCAAUAAGAUUAAGAUAUCAAUGGCAAGCUAACAUAAGAUCAGCAUUUCUAGCUGAAUGAGAGAAGGUCCUUGAUUCGCCUGUACAAAUUCAAUAGCAACUCAUUAGCUCUAACUAUGACUUAUUACUUUGUUUCUUAGAGGAUAAUGUCUCAAUAUUUUGCCUUGUUAAAUAAGGCAAAUGAUUUUAUGUAACCUUAGAUUUGAAGUUAAUCUUAAAUAUGGUUGCAGAAAGAGCUUGAGGGGGCACUCCAAAGGAAUCCCAGAAUUUGAGGACAAAGUCAGAUAAAGGUUACCCUCUGAAAAUGAAAGUUUAAAAAUCAUAACAUUUCAAUAUCAGGUGUAAUUAAAAUAUAUUGAGCACAUACCAUGUUACAUACAUGUGUCCUCAUAUUGAUUCUCUCAUUCAUGAAUUCUACUAUUAUUUAGUGAGCUAUGUUAGAUACAAGUGACAGAAACAACUCAAGCUUGCUUAAACAAAAAAAGGGAUUUAAAGAAAUGUGGGAGAGAGGUCCUAUGGUACCUAAAUAGGUUUGCAGAUGGACCUCAGAAAUUACCUAGAAUAAAGGAAAUGUAAACUAUUAAAAGUUUUUUUUUCUUUUCUCAAUGUUGUUUCUUUUUGCAUAGCUUCAUUAUUCUUCUGUCAGAUUCUUUAUCUGUUUGGAAUGUUAGGGCCACAACAUAGCUUCAGAUUUCACAUGGUAAAUGUUAUGCAUAAGCAAAGGGUCACUUCUGUCUCAUUCCCAACUCCAAAAUCCCAAUGAAAGGAGAACCUAGUUGGAGCCUGUUGUGCCAGGUGUCUAAUUCAACUUAAUCACCAAUGCCUGGGAGGCAACAUUAUAAGACUACCAUGAAUUACUUCUGGUGAAGAGGAGCAAAACCAUUAUAAAUUUGAAAAAUAACCCAAUCUAUAUUAAUGCAUGUGGCCAUCUAUAGCAGUAAUUUCUCCAAACAAUCAGUGCAUUGUACUUAAUUCAAUCAAGGAGAUCAAACACACCUCAGUUUCCUGGAAAAUUAUAAACCACUCUGCUCUUUUGUAGUGUAUCUGAAGUGAUAUCCUUAUUUUAUGUCAGAAAAGCCAUGAUCUUGCAUGGAGCAUAAAAAAAAGAUAGCUUAUACAUUAAAAAUGAGUCAAUGCUAACCAGCAUUGUCUAAGAGCAAAUGGCUGUCAGGAAUAUUCAAGUAACUAAACAGAUGUGUAUUAUAUAGAUAAAUCUCCUGCAUUUCCUCCAUCCUGGGUGAAAUAUUUCUCAAUACCAUUCAACUAUCUUUACACUAUUUUCACCCUUACUAGUCAUUUAACUUACUAGUUCAGUUUUCCUGGUAGUGUUAAUAAGAAACAUUUUGACCUGCACAGUAGACAUUAGGUUUCUUACUAUGACUGGAAUAUAAUCCCUACUGUAAACAAAUCUCCAUCCGACUUACAAAUGAGUAAUACAUGAUUAGUUACCAUGAGCCAGUGCCUUAAAACUGAACGCCCCUGCAUGAACCAAUUUUUAAAGCAUUGAUCCUUUCAUGUAAAAGUAUAUGUUCAAUCACAGAAAAAGGAAAACGCAGUCUCAAGUUCAAAGAAAUGCCUCUCAUCUAGUUAAUCCAGGCAGAUCACAAUGAUUUAACAUUUAUUGAAGGUGUAAAAAAAUCAGUUUCUUGCAAUGACAAAUUCACA
rnacentral:lncRNA from 1 species